GCUGGAUUUCCCAAAUUUCUUGCGAGAAAAUUGCAAAUAAAAGGAUUCUCAUGGUGCUGUGAGUAUUCAAACUUGCAACCGAAAGGUUGGCAGUCCAUAAUUCUACAUCUAAGCCACUCUGCUGAAGCUACAGCCGUGGCGAAUAAUGAUCCUGGAGAGCGCGAUCCAACAGGUGCCAUGAUUGGCUAACACCUGUUCAAUAUUUGUGUACUGUAUAUAGAGCUGGCGUUCACGCCUUCAUGUUCUCACUCAUCAUUUUACC
rnacentral:lncRNA from 1 species